ACCUUCUCAGAGGAGUCCAAGGGAGCUAUCAGACUCGAAGACUCCUGGUGUUACAGGUCUGAAUCUUGCCUAACUUCAGUCUUAGGCCAGGAAACAUUUUCCCCAAGCAAAAUGGGACCUGGAUGUAACAAGGUGCUUGUAAAUGCCUCAAAAGACCUCACAAGAAAAUUGGAGCAUUGUGUCAGAUAUGACCUGCUCUGGAACUCCAAAGUGAACAGACAGGUUUGUUGCAAGAGUGUUUUUGUCCU